CCUACGGGUGGCAGCAGUGAGGAAUAUUGGUCAAUGGGCGCGAGUCUGAACCAGCCAAGUAGCGUGAAGGAUGACUGCCCUAUGGGUUGUAAACUUCUUUUAUAUGGGAAUAAAAUGUUCCACGUGUGGGAUUUUGUAUGUACCAUAUGAAUAAGGAUCGGCUAACUCCGUGCCAGCAGCCGCGGUAAUACGGAGGAUCCGAGCGUUAUCCGGAUUUAUUGGGUUUAAAGGGAGCGUAGGUGGAUUGUUAAGUCAGUUGUGAAAGUUUGCGGCUCAACCGUAAAAUUGCAGUUGAAACUGGCAGUCUUGAGUACAGUAGAGGUGGGCGGAAUUCGUGGUGUAGCGGUGAAAUGCUUAGAUAUCACGAAGAACUCCGAUUGCGAAGGCAGUUCACUGGACUGCAACUGACACUGAGGCUCGAAAGUGUGGGUAUCAAACAGGAUUAGAUACCCCUGUAGUC
rnacentral:rRNA from 1 species